GACGAACGUUGGCGGCGUGGAUUAGGCAUGCAAGUCGCGGGAAUCCCAGCAAUGGGGGAACCGGCGUAAGGGGCAGUAAGGCGUGGGCAACCUACCCGGGGGUCUGGCAUAGCCCGUCGAGAGACGGGGUAGUUCCAGGCGACAUCGCGACGGGGCCUCCCGGUGCGAUCAAAGGUCCGCCGCCCCCGGCGGGGUCCACGUGGUAUUAGCUAGUUGGUGGGGUAACGGCCCACCAAGGCGAAGAUGCCUAGCGGGUGUGAGAGCACGACCCGCGCCACUGGCAGUGAGACACUGGCCAGACACCGACGGGUGGCUGCAGUCGAGGAUCUUCGGCAAUGGGGGCAACCCUGACCGAGCGACGCCGCGUGUGCGACGAAGGCCUUCGGGUUGUAAAGCACUGUCGAGGGGGAGGAAAGCCCGCGAGGGUGUGACCUAUCCCUGGAGGAAGCACGGGCUAAGUUCGUGCCAGCAGCCGCAGUAAGAC
rnacentral:rRNA from 1 species